rnacentral:rRNA from 1 species
CCUACCUUAUAGAUUGGGAUAACUCCGUGAAACCGGGGCUAAUACCGAAUAAUACUUCCUAACACAUGUUUUAAAGUUGAAAGACGGUCUCGGCUGUCACUAUAAUAUGGACCCGCGGCGCAUUAGCUAGUUGGUGAGGUAACGGCUCACCAAGGCAACGAUGCGUAGCCGACCUGAGAGGGUGAUCGGCCACACUGGGACUGACCCACGGCCCACACUAAUACGGGAGGCAGCAGUAGGGAAUCUUCCACAAUGGACGAAAGUCUGAUGGAGCAACGCCGCGUGAGUGAAGAAGGAUUUCGGUUCGUAAAACUCUGUUGCAAGGGAAGAACAAGUAGCGUAGUAACUGGCGCUACCUUGACGGUACCUUGUUAGAAAGCCACGGCUAACUACGUGCCAGCAGCCGCGGUAAUACGUAGGUGGCAAGCGUUGUCCGGAAUUAUUGGGCGUAAAGCGCGCGCAGGUGGUUCCUUAAGUCUGAUGUGAAAGCCCCCGGCUCAACCGGGGAGGGUCAUUGGAAACUGGGGAACUUGAGUGCAGAAGAGGAUAGUGGAAUUCCAAGUGUAGCGGUGAAAUGCGUAGAGAUUUGGAGGAACACCAGUGGCGAAGGCGACUGUCUGGUCUGUAACUGACACUGAGGCGCGAAAGCGUGGGGAGCAAACAGGAUUAGAUACCCUGGUAGUCCACGCCGUAAACGAUGAGUGCUAAGUGUUUGGGGGGUUCCGCCCCUCAGUGCUGCAGCUAACGCAUUAAGCACUCCGCCUGGGGAGUACGG